GAGUAGAAUUUAAGGUUUAACCUGCCCAAUGAUUAUUUCAACGGCCGCAGUAUAUUGACUGUGCAAAGGUAGCAUAAUCAUUAGUUUUUUAAUUGAAAGCUUGUAUGAAUGGUUGGACGAGAUAUAAACUGUCUUUAAAUUAUAAUUAGAAUUUAAUUUUUAAGUUAAAAAGCUUAAAUAGAUUUAAAAGACGAGAAGACCCUAUAGAUCUUUAUAAAUAUAAGAAUUUAAGUUUUAAGGAUUAUUUAUUUUUAUAUUUUUUUAUUUAUUUAAUUGGGGUAAUAAAAAGAUUUAUAGAAUUCUUUUUUAUUUUAAACAUAGAUAAAUGAUUUGAAUGAUCCAUUAUUAUUGAUUAUAAGAUUAAGUUACCUUAGGGAUAACAGCGUAAUUUUUUUAAAGAGUUCUUAUCGAUAAGAAAGUUUGCGACCUCGAUGUUGGAUUAAAAUUAAUUUUGGGUGUAGAAGUUCAAAGGUUUAGUCUGUUCGACUAUUAAAAUUUUACAUGAUCUGAGUUCAAACCGGUGUAAGCCAGGUUGGUUUCUAUCUUUAAUUAAUCAGAAUAUUUUAGUACGAAAGGACCAAAUAUUUAAUAUAAAGUAUUUUAAAAUUUUGAUAAAA
rnacentral:rRNA from 1 species